rnacentral:rRNA from 1 species
UCGUGAGAUGUUCGGGUUAAGUCCCGUAACGAGCGCAACCCUUGUCCGUUAGUUACCAGCACGUUAUGGUGGGCACUCUAAGGAGACUGCCGGUGACAAACCGGAGGAAGGUGGGAUGACGUCAAGUCAUCAUGGCCUUACGGCCUGGGCUACACACGUGCUACAAUGGUCGGUACAAAGGGUUGCCAAGCCGCGAGGUGGAGCUAAUCCCAUAAAACCGAUCGUAGUCCGGAUCGCAGUCUGCAACUCGACUGCGUGAAGUCGGAAUCGCUAGUAAUCGUGAAUCAGAAUGUCACGGUGAAUACGUUCCCGGGCCUU